CAAAUUGAUCAGUAACUAUUCUAGAAUUUUGUGUUUUUUAAGUCGGUUCGUUUUUGUUUCUUUUUUGCUCCAUUUAGUAACUGUUAAGAAAACUGAAUGUAUAUCUAUGUUUUUACUUAAGUUGUUAAUACCAUUUUGUGUGCCAAUUAUGAUUAAUCCUUCUUCUGUUUUGCUUUCCAUAAUCUGUUUUCUUAAUUUGUAUAUAUCUGUAUCCAGAAUCUCUGAGACGAAGCUGCUGAUUUGGGUUUCUUUUCGAUUUCAAUAAUUUUCCAAGCGCUGGAAGUUUCUGUGAAGUUUAAUUAGUUGAUUUACCAAAAUGGGAGUAUUCAAUUUCAUUGUGAUUCCGAUUCUAGAUGACGACCGGUAUCCUCCUUCCUCCAGCUCUUCAAAAUCUUGAUUUGAGAAUGAGAUUGUUGUUGUUGUUGGAAAAGGAGGACCUACUGAAGUGAUGUCUGAAUAUGGCUUUAAGUACACUCAUUGAUGAUCUUUCUCAUGUAAUAUACAUAUUUUAUCACAAUUAAUAUCUUUUGGACGAUGGAGGGGUCAAAUACUAUUGUGGAUUUGUUGGUAGCUUGAAUACAAUACUUUAUUGCUUGGUGUUGCCUUGCAACUAAAUGAAGCAUGUAAGCUUAAUGCAAUUUUAGUUUUAGUGUUUUCCUAUCAUGUAGUUUUUCCUUC